AACGAACGCUGGCGGCAGGCUUAACACAUGCAAGUCGAGCGCCCCGCAAGGGGAGCGGCAGACGGGUGAGUAACGCGUGGGAACGUACCCUUUGCUACGGAAUAGCUCCGGGAAACUGGAAUUAAUACCGUAUGUGCCCUACGGGGGAAAGAUUUAUCGGCAAAGGAUCGGCCCGCGUUGGAUUAGCUAGUUGGUGGGGUAAUGGCCUACCAAGGCGACGAUCCAUAGCUGGUCUGAGAGGAUGAUCAGCCACAUUGGGACUGAGACACGGCCCAAACUCCUACGGGAGGCAGCAGUGGGGAAUAUUGGACAAUGGGCGCAAGCUUGAUCCAGCCAUGCCGCGUGAGUGAUGAAGGCCUUAGGGUUGUAAAGCUCUUUCACCGGUGAAGAUAAUGACGGUAACCGGAGAAGGAGCCCCGGCUAACUUCGUGCCAGCCGCCGCGGUAAUAC
rnacentral:rRNA from 1 species